GCCCGGAUGGCGGAAUAGGUAGACGCGCUGGUCUCAAAAACCAGUGGGAGUUUUCCCUUGCCGGCCUGCCUGCCUGGUGAUGGCCUGUAUGAGGCAGGCAGGCCUGCCUGCCUGGUGAUGGCCUGUAUGAGGCAGGCAGGUUCGAUUCCGGCUCCGGCU
rnacentral:tRNA from 1 species